rnacentral:lncRNA from 1 species
ACUCGUAGUAAAAAUUGAUGGAUCUAUUGGUAGCUGGGAACCUGCAACACUUAUUCCAACGAUGUCAAUGCCAUAAAAACUUGAGAAAGCUGGGGAUAUUGGAGUGAAUCCCGCAGUCUGGGAGACUUUUCCACCAAAGUUUAGGUAGCCGGUUGAGCUAGGUGUUGAAGGUAAACAAUAAGAGAAUUGCUUUUGGUAUUUCUCGGCAGUUUGUGAUGGUAAGGAUACCGAAGAGGAGCUUAGUCCUAGCAAACCGGCUGCCUGGCCGAACAAGCCAUUAUUGCUUUGGCCGCACCCGAACAGGAAGUUUGUGAAAACGUCCGAUGAUGAAAUGGUUAGUGUUUCGGUGGCGAAAAAUCCUUGGGAGUAGGAUUGGUCACCAUAAAUAAUUUGGUAGAGGCAUGUCGAGUUUGAGGCAGAGCAACCCCUUUCACCUACAUAUGAACACGACAAAGAAGUAAGCUUCAAAUAUUUUUUUUAUUCCAGACCAUUGUUUUCAAUUAUGAAAUUUACACGUCAAGAAUUUGGCAAAAAAAAAAAAUUACUGGUAGGGAGCAAGUUGCAUGAUGCUGAGGAACACGAAACAUUAUUGUAUGAGGUUGACUUGGUUGGAUCGAACUUUUGUUCCUUUUGCGGAUAGCAGGACCCUAAGCAUGGCUGACAUUGAGUCCAAGUGAUGCCACUGCCGGUGUCGAAUACAAGGGUAAAAUCCUCUUUUGGUGUGCCAAGGCCGACAGUAACCACGUAGUUGCCUGUGCCGAUGGCUAUACCAGACUGGGCUGGUAGUUUUGUCACCAUCUCCUCAAAAAUGCCAUGGCCUGAGAUCUUGGAAAGUCUAGCUUGAAUCGAGUCCACUCGAAGUUGGUCUUGGAGGAGGAAUUCUACAUGUGACCGAUCAUUCAGUACUUGCAUGCACGGACCAUACUUGUGCAGAACUUGCAGAGAUGAAGCCUUGUCGAUCACUGAAACACAUAACCUAUAGUUAGUGCUGCUUAGUGCAUUAAUUAGGUAGAAAAUUAAUUUCAUUUCAACAUCAUAAAAUAUACAUAUGUAUUUGUCACACGAUCACGAACCCUUACUAGAUUGGUCGCAGGAAUCUGAUGCCAACAGAGAAUUGACUUCCAGGGUAUGAACAUAUUUUUUUAUAUGCUCAUUUGCUUCAACUGCAUAACCCUUCUUCAGAGAACACAAAGGGCAUAGAAAAAGAAGAAAAACAUAGAUGAAACCGGUAAAUUUGAUGGAAGAAAUGAGAUUGGCCAUGAAAAACAAUCAAGUUGUAUUGCUGUUAAUUAUGUUCUCAUACAACUCAUCAGUGCUCUGCUUUCUUCCCUAGCUAGCCUUGUAUACUCUACACACACACACACCCACAUAUACAAGCAAGGCAUGGCUCACAAUGAAAGACUUGAAGGAAGGCUGACUUAUCAAAUGCACUGAAGUCAGCGUGCAUUGUCUCCACUCUAAAUCUCUAAUACUACAAGUCUGUCAUCAGCUGCGCGACUUUUCAUCCAAUGAAAAGGAUGCAUCUCAAAUUUAUGUGGUAUAAUUUGACCAGAUUCUAUAUUUUUUUUUUAUGUUAUCCAUGCAAGUAUCACAAACUUUAAGAUUAUUAUAAAUUUAUAUGGUUGUUAAUUUUAGAACAUUAAAAAAUUAGUUGAGAUAUACAUAAAUUGUCCCAUAUAUAUAUAUAUAUAUAUAUAUAUAUAUAUAUGUUUGUUUGUUUGUUUUGGCCUUAUGCCCUGUUGUAACAAAUAAUUAUAAUAAUUAAAAAAAAAUCAAAAGGAUGUAUUACGUUGGCAAUAAUAUGAAAGGGUGCUAUGACUCUAGAAGUAAACUUACAAGCAUAUCCUAUCUCCUUAAGAAGUGCCAUGGAUUUGUGCAUGGUGUGUUGUGUAUAAAAAAAAACACCUUAAAUCUUAAGAAACGGAAAUUGUAUAUAUAAAUAUGAAUUAUAUUAUAAAUCUCGGCUCUCUUUCACUUUUGUUUUGAUUUUCUAAUCCUUUACGUGAAGUUGCGUGGAAGUUUCUCUCUCAAAGUUGCUGGGUCUAUUUGUCAAAUAAUUCAAAUCAAAGUGGACUAGCUUCUUAUAAAAAAUUGAUAGUAUCUUUAAAAUUGAAAACAUUAGAAUAUGUGCCUGUUUACGUCUCUCAUUCAACCUAUUUUUCAUGAAUUUUUUUUAAUUUUAAAUUAAUUUUUUUAAUGUUUUUGAACCGUGUUAAUAUAAAAAAUAAAAUUUUAAAAAUAAAAAAAAUAUUAUUUUAAUAUAUUUUAAAACAAAAAGUAUUUUAAGAAGAUAAAUAAUCACUGUUGCAGAACAAAACAGCCAUUAAAACACUUGAAGACGUUUAUGGCUGACAAUAAUUUGUUUGCAAUGCCUAACAUGACAAGUCAUACCCUGCAAAUACCAAACUGUUGCUGUAUAGAUUUCCCCACCAUGUGGAAUUCUCAAUCAUUCUCAAUCACAGGUCAUACAGGAAUUGAUGGUUUGUUUUUGUGUUAUGAUUUAUUUUUUAAUAUUUUUUUUUAAAUAUUAAAUUGAUAUUUUUAAAAAUUUAUUUAAAUAAUUUUAAUGUGUUAAUAUUGAAAAUAAAAAUAAUUUAAAAUAAAUAUUAUUUUAAUACAUUUUCAAUUAAAAAAUAUUUUUAAAAACCAUACUAUAUCAUAAUAUUAAACAUAUACUUAGAACAUGUUUAUUUUUAUAUUUUAAAAAUAUAAAAAAAUUUAAAUUUAUUUAUUUAUUUAUUUAUUUAAAUUUUUUAUAUCGUUUCAAUGUGUUAAUAUUAAAAAAUAAUUUUAAAAAAUAAAAUAUUUAUUAUUUUAAUAUAUUUUUAAUUAAAAAAAACAUUAAAAAAUACCUCUCAUUAUCGUACCAGCAGGAAUACAUGUCCAGAAAGUGAUAAUUAGAAUCGUUCUCCAGCCAAUCAACGGACAAAACAAGCACUUGAGGGUGGAGCUCAGUGGUCAACCGUGUGACUUGUUCCGCCCUCGUCCCGAGUUUAAUUUUCUAUGUGCAUGCCUGUCACCCCCGCGGUGCUUUACCUGCUCACUAGGCUUGCAGGAUGCUCAGUGGGCCGUGGGGAAUAGUCGUGGUGCGCGCAAGCUGGCCCGGACACCCCACGAUAAUUAAAAAAAAAAAACAAGCAAAUACAUGGAAACUUUAUUUCAAAAAAAUUAAUUUACGUGGAAAAAAAACAGAUGGAGACGAGGAUCGCUUUACUCCUUUCAUUUUAGUUGAUCAAUUCAAAUUCCCUAGUCCAUCAUGUGUUUUAUUAUUGGAUAAAAGUUGAUUACAGGAAAGACUUAAAACUAUUGAAAGUUAGAACACGUACGGCCUUUCUCAAUUGUUGUUGAUCAUACAAGCUCCAUCGCCCUUGCCUCGAGGGCUACUGUAAUUUAAAUUUUCCGUGAGGGAUAUGGAUUAUUGUAACUAGAUUUAUCUAUCUAAAGUUUAUAAAGUCAUAUAACAAGAUAUAUAUAAAAAUAAAUAUAUAUAUAUAUAUAUAUAUAUAUAUAUAUAUAUAUAUAUAUUAUCUCUCUGGUUAGAUUAUUGAAACAAUUUCUUGAUUGUUUAAAAUUAUUGAAUUCCUUAUUUAUUUUUAUUGAUUAGAAAAUAAUUAAUAAUAUUUUUAUUGGUUAUUUUCUUGACAGGCAAAGCCCAGGUAUUCAAACUUAUGGUGAAAACAUUUUUUUUUUCUCAUUAUUGGUCUUGUUAAAUAAUAUUUAUGUAAUCUUAUUUAUUAAGGGUAGAAUAGUACUUUCAGUUUAACCUAUAUAUACUUUAUUUGUAUUUAGGUUAAGACAAUGCAUUCAUAAUAAACAGAUUAUUCAGAAUUGUAGCCUCCUUUUUGUAUUUGAUCUCAAUUAUUUUAACAUGGUAUCAGAACCUGGUUUUAUGAAACGAGGCUUAAUCCCGAACACAACUUCGCGGAUCCAACUCUGCGGUGAGUUGGCUGGGGGUUUGCAGGGGCAGCGCGCCCCUGCCGGGGUGAGAUUUUGUCUUCCGCUUCUGCAAAAUUUAGUAUUUCGUCAGUUUCUGCAAUUAUUUUGGUAUUUCAUCUUCCCUUCAGCUUUUGCAAUUUGGUAUUUCCGUUCAGUUUCUGCAAAUUUGUUUUGUGUUUUGGAGUAAUCGUAUAAGUUUGAGAAGAUAUUUGUUUAGUUUCUGCAAUCUCUGUUCAGUUUCUGCAAUUUGGUAUUUUGUUUUCCGCUGCUUUUGCAUUCUGGUUCUCUGUGAUUGUUGAUUAUGGUUACUAAAAGAGAUGAUUCGCUUCAGUCUGUGAGUGUGAGGUUGGAUGGGAAGAACUAUUCGUAUUGGAGCUAUGUAAUGAGAAAUUUUCUUAAGGGUAAGAAGAUGUGGGGGUAUGUUAGUGGAGCUUAUAUGAUACCUAAGAAUAUUGAGGAGGGGGGUGUUGCUUUGAUAGAUACAUGGGAAGCAAAUAAUGCAAAGAUCAUUACUUAGAUCAACAAUUCUGUUGAGCAUUCGAUAGGUACGCAGUUGGCGAAGUAUGAGACAACAAAAGAGGUUUGGGAUCAUCUGCAAAGGUUAUUCACGCAAUCAAAUUUUGCAAAACAGUAUCAGUUAGAGAAUGACAUACGAGCUCUUCACCAGAAGAAUAUGAGUAUUCAGGAGUUCUAUUCUGCCAUGACAGAUCUUUGGGAUCAAUUGGCUCUUACAGAAUCGGCAGAAUUAAAAGCAUGUGGUGCUUAUAUUAAACGUAGAGAGCAGCAACGAUUGAUACAAUUUUUAACAGCACUUCGCAGUGAUUUCGAAGGACUUAGAGGUUCAAUUCUGCAUCGUUCUCCACUACCUUCUGUUGACUCUGUUGUCAGUGAGUUAUUGGCUGAAGAAAUACGUCUUCAGUCUUAUUCUGAAAAGGGAAUUUUUUCUGCUUCAAAUCAAUUUUUUCUGUACUAGCAGUACCUUCUAAGCCAUUCUCUAAUCAUCAGAACAAGCCUUACACAAAGGUUAGCUUCGAUAAGUGCAGUUUUUGUAAGCAGAAAGGUCAUUGGAAGGCUCCACUAAAAUAUUAUUUAAGCCAAAAAUCUCAAAUGAGAAGACGAAACAUGACCUAGACGAGAAUGCCAUAAAUAAAAACUAGAAGAUGAAAGACUCAAACGAAAAGAAGACAAAUCAACAGUAGUAGCAGAAGCGGCAGCAGCAACAACUGAUACUUUUAACUCAUCCAAAAUAUAUAGUCCAUUCUCCAUACGGCCUGUCCCAAUCAGUUUCUGAGAUUGCAGGUCCUGUACACAACAAAAGGAACCAGAAAACAUGACUAAAUAAUCACCAGAAUCACAUAUUUGACCAACAGACGCAAGAUUUAAUUUGAGUUGUGGAAUAAAAUAAAUAUUAGGGAGAGACAAGUGAGGUGUGACAACGGAACCAACACCUGCUAAGGGCAUAGGAAUGCCAUCAGCAGUCAUGAUUCUGCUCUUUUUAUUAAGUGCACUGAUGCAAGUCGUAUCAUUCUGUCUCUAUAUGUUGAUGACAUGAUUAUUACUGGUGAUGAUAUUGACGGUAUUUCAGUUUUGAAGACAGAGUUGGCUAGACGAUUUGAAAUGAAGGAUUUGGGUUAUCUUCGAUAUUUCCUGCGUAUUGAGGUAGCAUACUCACCUAGAGGUUACCUUCUUUCUCAGUCGAAAUAUGUUGCAGGUAUUCUUGAGCGGGCUAGACUUACUGAUAACAAGACUGUAGAUACUCCUAUUGAGGUCAACGCGAGGUACUCUUCUUCUGAUGGUUUACCUUUGAUAGAUCCUACUUUAUACCGGACUAUUGUUGGGAAUUUGGUAUAUCUCACCAUUACUCGUCCAGAUAUUGCAUAUGUUGUUCAUGUUGUUAGUCAGUUUGUUGCUUCUCCUACUACUGUUCACUGGGCAGCUGUUCUUCGUAUUUUGCGAUAUCUUCGGGGUGCAGUUUUUCAGAGUCUGUUACUUUCAUCCACCUCUUCCUUGGAGUUGCGUGCAUACUCUGAUGCUGAUCAUGGUAGUGAUCCUACAGAUCGCAAGUCUGUUACCGGGUUCUAUAUCUUUUUAGGUGAUUCUCUUAUUUCUUGGAAGAGCAAGAAACAAUUUAUUGUUUCUCAAUCAUCCACUGAAGCAGAAUAUCGUGCCAUGGCAUCUACUACCAAAGAGAUUGUUUGGUUACGUUGGUUACUUGCUGAUAUGGGAAUUUUCUUUUCUCAUCCUACUCCUAUGUAUUGUGACAACCAGAGUUCUAUUCAGAUUGCUCAUAACUCGGUUUUUCAUUAGCGCACUAAGCACAUUGAGAUCGAUUGUCAUCUUACUCAUCAUCAUCUCAAACAUGGCACCAUUACUUUGCCUUUUGUUCCUUCUUCCUUGCAGAUUUCUUUACCAAGGCACAUUCCAUCUCUCGUUUUCGUUUUCUGGUUAGCAAACUCUCGAUGCUUGUAGCUGCCGUAUCGUGAGUUUGAGGGGAGAUGUUAAAUAAUAUUUAUGUAGUCUUAUUUAUUAAGGGUAGAAUAGUACUUUCAAUUUAACCUAUAUAUACUUUUUUUGUAUUUAGGUUAAGACAAUGCAUUCAUAAUAAACAGAUUAUUCAGAAUCGUAGUCUUCUUUUUGUAUUUGAUCUCAAUUAUUUUAACAGGUCUUACCAUGAACCCAAAAUAUUUAGAUUUAUAUUGAGGUUCAAUUUAGAAACGAUCCAAUCCAAUAGUAUCUGGGGAAGGAAACAUGCGUGGGUUAAAUUUAUUUUGUGUCUUGGUAAUUAUUAUGUUUUAAUUUUUGAUCAAUUUUAACAUUUAUGAAUUAGGAGCAUAAAAAAAUAAUUACUUAAAGCAAUGUUUAAAAAAAAAAAAAAGACUUUGAGAAAAGAAAACAUUUCUGAAAAAAAAAAACAGAUAGUGUAAGUUAGAAUCUAUUAAUUAAAGUUAAAUUUUAAUUAAAUCAAAGCUUUAACUUAAUUUUAUAAAAAAGAAAUUAUCUGAGUUAAAUGUUAUUAAUUUCUAAUAAAAUACAUUUAUAACUUUGAUAUAAAUCAAAUAAAAUAAAUCAAUUUACAAAAAUCAUACCAAAUAUGAAUUAAAUCUCUCACCUUCAGGCUUGAAGCAAGAUAUCCACACCUGCUUGAGCAAUAUUUACCUAGACAAACCCUUUAAAGGGUUCAGUUAUAUUAAUUGAUUAAUCAAUACUCUAAGACGCAUGGGAAAGCAUCAACAUGUUUUUUUUUAUGGUUUUACAUGUCUUUUUUUUUCUUUUUUUUCUCAAAAUUAACUUCUUCUUCUUCUUUUUUUUGUUCUUUUUUUUUGUUUUUGUAUUUUUUAAAAUUAUUUUUGUCAAUUUUUUUAAUAUUAAACUGGUUGAGAAUUUAGCCAUGUAGUUUUUUUCUUUAAAACAUUAUAGAUUGUUAUAAUAUAUCUCUACAUAGUUUUCUUCUUUUUAUUAUGAUUUUUUUCUUUUUUUUUUCUAAAAUGAUCUUUGUCGAUUUUAUCUUUUUCAUAUUGAGCUGCUUGAGAAUUUAACUUCAUAGUUUUUUAAAAAAACAAUACCGUGGAUUGCUAUAGUAUUUCCCCCCGUGGUUUUUGUUUUGCUGCAGUAUUUCUCCACAUUUUUUUUAUUUUUUUAUUUUUUGUUUUUUGUUUUUUUCCAAAGUUGUCUUUUUUUUUUUUUCAUUUCAUUUUAUUUUUUUGUGUUUUUUUCAGAAUUGUUUUUGUUGAUUUUAUUUUUUUAAUAUUCAGCUGGUUGAGAAUUUAGUUUUAUAGUUUUUUUCUUUAAAAUAUUAUGGAUUACUACAGUGUUUCUCCACAUAGUUUUUUUAAAUGACUUUUUUUUCUUCUUUUUCAUAAUGGUCUUUGUCGAUUUUAUUUUUUUCAUAUUGAGCUGGUUGAGAAUUUAACUUCGUAUUUUUUUCUUAAAAACACUGUGGAUUGCUACAGUGUUUCCCCAUAAUUUUUGUCUUGCUACAUUGUUUCCCACAUGUUUUUUUAAAAAUUAUAUUUGUCGUAUUUUUUUUUAAUAUUGAGCUAGUUGAGAAUUUAGCUUUUUUUUUCCAAAAUUGUCUUUUUUUUUUAAUUUUUUGUGUUUCUUUUUUCAGAAUUUUUUUUGUCGAAUUUUUUUUUUAUACUGGGCUGGUUGAAAAUUUAGCUUUGUAGUUUUUUUCUUUAAAACACCGUUGAUUGCUACAGUGUUUCUCCACAUGAUUUUUUUUGUUAUGAUUUUUUUUAAAAAUUGUCUUUAUCGAUUUUAUUGUUUUUAAUAUUGAGCUGGUGGAGAAUUACAAUAGUAGAUUUUCUCAUGAAACAUUAUAGAUUACUAGAGUGUUUCCUUGUACGGUUUUUUUUCCUUUCAUUUUUUUUGUUAUGAUUUUUUUAAAAAUUAUCUGUCGAUUUUAUUUUUUUAAUAUUGAGCUGGCCACAUGUUUUUUUUUGCUUUUUUUUUCCAAAAUUGUCUUUUUCUUUUUUUUUGUGUUUUUUUUUCAGAAUUGUCUUUGUCGAAUUUAUUUUUUUAUACCGAGCUGGUUGAAAAUUCAGCUUUGUAAUUUUUUUCUUUAAAACAUCAUUGAUUGAUACAGCGUUUCUCCACAUGAUUUUUUUUUGUUAUGAUUUUUUUAAAAAUUGUCUUUAUCGAUUUUAUUGUUUUUAAUAUUGAGCUGGUUGAGAAUUACAACUGUAGAUUUCUUUAUGAAAUACUAUAGAUUGCUGCAGUGUUUCCCUGCAUGGUUUUUUUUUCCUUUCGUUUUUGUUGUUAUAAUUUUUUCCAAUAUUAUGUUUGUCGAUUUUAUUUUUUUAAUAUUGAGCUGGCCAUAUGUUUUUUUUCCAUUUUUUUUCCAAAAUUGUCUUCUUCUUUUUUUCAUUUUUUUUGUGUUUUUUUCUUCAGAAUUGUCAUUAUCGAAUUUGUUUUUUUUAUACUGAGCUGGUUGAAAAUUUAACUUUGUAAUAUUUUUUUUAAAACACCGUUGAUUGCUACAGUUUUUCUCCACAUGAUUUUUUUUUUGUUAUGAUUUUUUUUCAAAAUUGUCUUUAUCGAUUUUAUUGUUUUUAAUAUUGAGUUGGUUGAGAAUUACAACUGUAGAUUUCCUCAUGAAACACUAUAGAUUGUUGCAGUGUUUCAUUACAUGGUUUUUUUUCCUUUCGUUUUUUUUUGUUAUGAUUUUUUCAAAAUUAUCUUUGUCGAUUUUAUUUUUUUAAUAUUAAGUUGGUUGAGAAUUUAACUUCGUAGUUUUUCUUGAAAACAUUGUGGAUUGCAAUAGUUUUUCUCCAUAUAAUUUUCUUUUUUAUUUUUUUAUGAUUUUUUCUACAAACUCACGACAACGCACAAGAAUGCCACAAGCCCACAGUAUCGCGCAGACAUGACAUCUAGUUUGUAUCUAGGCCUUAAAUGAAUUUUGGUCCAGUUGGAUUAUUACGCAAAUUAGCACUUAAAUGGUUGGAGCAUUCAUAUUUAUAUUUUUUAGCUAAAUUUUAAAUAAAAUAGUUGAAAUUUAUUUUAGCUAAUUCUUUUUAAAAAAUAUUAUCAUAAUCAUGUUUUCUAAAAUAAAGAAUCACAAAUAUCUUAUUUUUAUUUUAUUAUCACAUUCAAUCUUGUCAUGACAACAUGCAACAAUGCAAAAAUACAACUAUUUUAAAAAAGACAACUUCCAAAGUGAAAGUGAAAUGAUGGAUGCAUGGAGUUUUAGCAGUAUGAAAGCACCAUGCCAAUGCUGCCUAGCAUUUGUAGAUACUUCAGCAUUAAACUUAGCCAAAUAUUAUACAAAAAAUAAAAAAUUUAAAGAAAUACUAGAGUGGUUUGGAUAAUAAUUGUAAAAGUGGGGAAAUUAUAAAUAGAACACAGUACCCAUGUAAGUGCAGCCUCAAAAAUGGUUCCAAAUUUCCAGGACAUUGAGAGGAGGACCAUCCUUUUCCCUCCACUUGUCAUUUUUUAUUGUAGCGAUUAUUUUUUGAAGUGUUUUUCACUCGGAAAUAUAUUAAAAUAAUAUUUUUUAUUUUUAAAAAUUUAUUUUUUAUAUUAAAAUAAUCUAACAAUAUAAAAAUUCAGAUUUUUAUAAAACGCUGUUUAUAUCGCGUUCCCAAAAGGUAAGUAAAUAAGAAAGAAUUCUAGAAAAAAUAAUGUAGAAUAAUAAAAAUCAAUCAUUAUUUGCUGGUUAGAAGUGUUAUUCCUUGAAAACCAUUCCCAAAAGUCUUUGCCCUACAUGCUAAAGUCCAUACCAAAGCUUCCAAUUUUAUAGAAUUGAAAAUGCCAAUUUUCCAAUUAUUUUAACUCGUUAAUUAAAGUUAUACAAUGUCUAUCAAUAAAUUUUCAAUCCCAAAUCAUAGAAUCCUAGAACACAAGGUAAAAAUAAAAAAAAAAUGUUAAAAUCAACAUCGAAAAAACUAGCUCCUAACAAUUUUGCACCUUUAAAAUUGGCUUGUCUUGGUAUGGAUUGAAACAGACGAAAAAAAAUAAAAACUCAAUCAUUCCAUUACAGAGAAAUUAACCAAAAACAAAUAAAAAGAGAAGAAAUCCAACUAAAUCAUAAAUUAUCUUAAAAUUAACAACUGGGUUUUGUUAUUUAUAUUCAUAUUUUAGAAUAACAAUCAUUAUAGGAAAAAAAAGACGGAUAUUUUUCAACAAAUUUAGGAUCUAUUUAAUACUGCUAUGCAUAUACAUAAAACAAUGCUUUUAGAAACCUUCUAGGUGGUAGCACAGUGGUAAGAACUUGGGAUCAAGAGGUUUGCUCCCUCUGUGGUCUCACGUUCGAGCCUUGUGGUUGCUCAUAUGAUGGUCACUGGAGACUUACAUGGUCGUUAACUUCAGGGCCCGUGGGAUUAGUCGAGGUGCGCGCAAGUUGGCCUGGACACCCACGUUAAACUAAAAAAAACAAUGCUUUUAGAUUUUCUUUAUUUUUUUGUGAAAAAAAGAAGAGCUACAUAUAUAUGGCUUGUACAAAGUCAAGGAUUACGCGUGUAAGAGUAGAGAUUGUUAAAACACUUCAAUUACACAAAAAUAAAUACAAACAUGAAAGAGAGGAGGUUAGAAUUCUCCUCAAUUGAUUUAUCUUCAAGUUUUUUUUUAACCUAAAUACAAAGAGCUUAUAUAUAGGUUAAGUUAAAAAUAUUAUUCUAUCCUUAAUAAAUAAAACAAGAUAAAUAUCUUAUUUAACAUCUCCCCUCAAACUCACGAUGCGACAGCUAUAAGUAUCGAGAGUUUGCCAACUAGAAAACAAAAAUGAGAAAUGGAAUGCGACUUGGUAAAGAAAUCUGCAAUCUGCAAGGAAGAAGAAACAAAAGGCAAAGUAAUGGUGUCAUGCUUGAGAUGAUGACGAGUAAGAUGACAAUCAAUCUCAAUAUGUUUAGUUCGUUCAUGAAAAACUGAGUUGUGAGCAAUCUGAAUAAAACUCUGGUUGUCACAAUACAUAGGAGUAGGAUGAGAAAGUGAAACUCCAAUAUCCGCGUGUAACCAACGUAACCAAAUAACCUCUUUGGUAGUAGAUGUCAUAACACGAUAUUCUGCUUCGGUUGAGGAUUGAGAAACAAUAGAUUAUUUCUCGCUCUUUUAAAAGAUAAGAGAAUCACCUAAAAAGAUACAAAAACCAGUAACCGAUUUGCGAUUUGUGGGAUCAUUUUCAUGAUCAGCUACAGAGUAUGCACGUAGCUCCAAGGAAGAGGUGGAUGAAAGUAAGAGACUCUGAAAGAUUGUACCCUAAAGAUAUCAUAAAAUACGAAUAACAGCUGCCUAGUGAACAGUAGUAAGAGAAGCAACAAACUGACUAACAACAUAUGUAAUAUUUGGACAAGUAAUUGUGAGAUAUACCAAGCUCCCAACAAUAAUACGAUAUAAAAUAGGAUCUGUCAAAGGCAAACCAUCAGAAGAAGAAUACCUAGCGUUAACUUUAAUGGUCGAACAUGGGAGAGGGUAUCUGAGGUACUAGGAACCUGUGAUGAUAUAUUAUCAGAAUUCUUAAAAAAGGAAUCUAUACAGAUAAUAACAGGUCUAGUCAAGUUAUGAGUAGUGAAUGGAAUAGAAAAGAAAGGUAUAUGCUCAAGAAUGACAGCAUGACGAGACACAUAAAGUUUAUGAGUUAUUGAAUCAAAAUAACGAUAUCCCUUUUUACCUUUACCAUAACCUAGAAAGACACAAAUAGCAGAACGAUAGGACAACUUACUACGUUUUGUAUGAGAACAAAGAACAAAACAAGUACAACCAAAAACUCUAAAAGAGGAAUAAUUAGGGACAUGCUCUAAAUCUUUUCAAAAGGAGACAAACCUGAACUAUGAGAAGAUGAGAUUGUAUUAAUCAAACUUACAGCAGUAAGGAUAGCUUCUUCCCAAAAACUCACUAGGAACAGGAGCAAACAACAAGAGAGAACGAGUAGUUUCAACUAUGUGCCUAUGUUUUCUUUCAACAACACCAUUUUGCUCAGGAAUAUCUGUACAUGAAGUUUGGUGAAUGAUUUUAUCUAAGGCAAGCAACUGACAAAAUUUAUUAGAAGUGUAUUCCCCACCCAAAUCACACUUAAAGUAUUUUAUUACAACAGAAUGUUGAGUUUUCACAAGAGCUCAAAAGGCUGUAUAUAUAUCAUAGAAUUCAGAACGUUGUUUCAUUAAAUAAACCCAAUAAUAAUGAGUAUGAUCAUCAAUAAAUAAAACAUAAUAUCGAGACCCUCCUUUUAUGGUAAUAGAAGAAUGUCUCAAAUACAUCAGAAUGAAUCAAAUCAAAAGGUGAAGAAGAAAUAGAAAUACUUCGAUUAAAAGGUAAAGCGAAAAAUUUUGUCAGUUUACAUUGACCACAAUCAGAAAUAUCACAAGUUUUCAAAUUUUCUAAAGCUCGUGUUUUUUCUUCGUCCAACAAUUAGCUCCAUUGUGGGCGACAAGUCUGCGCCAAUGAUAGCUUUUCUAGUUUCAUUAUUCACCUUAAAUGGUAUUUACUAAACCUUACCUUGCACCACUAAAGUGUACACACACACACACACACACACACACACACACACACCCCUCUCUAGUGUUGCUAUGACUGAACAAACAAAUUUUAACUAUCUAAUGUCUAAGCUCUGGUAUCCAAUAAAAUGAAAGCAUUACUAAUGUUUGAAAUUGUGGGUUCGAAAUAAAUAGAAUAAUUUUGAGUGAAAUGAUAGUUUAAAGCUACAAAUCAUGAACCAAAGAAAAAGGUAAAUAUAUAAUCUAAUAAAUUUUAGUGAAAGAAAAAACACAUUUAUCUAUUAAGCCAAGUGUGACAAGUGCACCAUUAGCAUCCCAUUUUAUGAAUGUAGAUGGAGGGAGUCUUGUACUUUUUGUUCAUUACUUGAUCUCUUUUGUUGUAAUCUGAAUUUUUACUUUUAUUUUUGUAUAUGUUUUCAAAAAAUAGAAAACAUUCAAAAAAUAUAUUUUCAGUAAUUUAGUUGAUUUUAAUAAUUUUAUUAUUUUCUUUUUUUAUUUAAUAUUUGUGUGUAAAAAAUCUUGAAAACCAAUAAAAAAAUGCAAAAAUAGCUGGGGUUUGAAAUUGGACCACGAAGUGAGCAUCAUAGAUGAACAAAUUGAGUUUGAGAAUUUUGAAGCCAUGAUCGAGGUUUCAAUUGGAGAGAAAAUUUAGAAAAAGAUUUAAUUUGACUAAGAUUAAAAGAAACUUGAAACUCAAGGAUGAUUCUAAAAUAAAUAAAAAAGUUAGAAGCCAAUUAAAGGCUCAGUUGAAAUAGUAAUUUGAAUUUAGGAGUUAGAUUUGUUAAAAUUGCAUAACUUGAGGAAUUAAGAAUGAAUUUACAAUAAGUAGUUAAAUAUGGAGGUCUAAAUUGAUUCAAUUAGAGACACAAUCGAAGAAAAAAAAUGAGAUUAAAGGAUUUUAGAAAACCAAAGACUAAUUGGAAAGAUCAAUUAAUUCAAUUUAGGGUUUAAAUUGAAAGAAAUUUCAAAAUUAAACAUCUUAAUGGAAACAUCUUAAAGCCAAGGACUAUAAUGGAAAGAAAGAAAUAUUUUGAGGACCAAUUAAAUCUAUUUACAUAACUUUAUUUCGAUCCUAUUUGUUUUAAUCCAAUCAAUUCAGUUCAAUUUAUUUCAAUUGAGUCCAAUUGAACUGAUUUAAUUCAAUUCAAUCCCAAAUUAACUCCUUGCAAUUCAAUUAUCUUUAAUUGAUUAAAUUUAGUUCAAAUUAAUCAAUUAAUUAAACCAUAUUUUCAGUAAUCAAUUUCAAAAUCUUUUGAUCCUUAAAACUCAAUUUCAAUCUCACAAUUAUAGCCAAAUUAUCCCAACAACUAAACCUAGAAUCACAAUCCCUUAAUUUUAGCUUUUCAAAAUCCUAAACAUUCACCAAAAUCCCAGCUUAAAAAAUCAUUUUUAUUACAACCUAAAUUAUUUUCAAUUAAAAUUAUUUUACAUGAUUUAGCAUUGUAAAAAAAAAAAUUGUUCCUGCAAGCAUUUUUGGGCUUGAUAACAAGUUUAUCAAGCCCAUUAAAAGGCUAAAUAAAUUGAUUUAUUGAGGCUCAUAUAAAAAAAAAUAAAAACACAAACGUUUACUUUAAAUAAAAACAAAUGAAUAAAUAAAUACUCACUUAGAAGCCUAAAAAAAUUUCAUAAAUAGAAAAAAAAAGGCUAAUGUAACGAGUAACAGUAACAGUGGCUCCUCUUGGAAAGUAGAAGAGUAAGAUUGAAAAAUUCUAAACUAUAAGGGUAUAAGUGUAACAUUUAUAAAUAAAUAAAAAGAGAAGCAAACAUCCUGUCGUUGCCGCCCAUAAAACGAUUGGUAAACUAUGUUAAAAAUGACCCAAAACGGUGCAUGUUCAUCCAAAUAAACAAAGAAGGUAGAAUUAUUCUUAUACAAUUUUAAAAGCCAAGUGUUAAGAACACUAAAAAUAUAAAAAAAGAUGAAGUGUCAAGCGAUCCUCGCAGAAGCAUUAAAUUCACCUCGGUAUCCAUAAACUGGAAAAUUUUACUAGCACUUUAUUAAUUUUGGCUCCAGGAUCAGGAGCUCAGACAUGGAAUUUGAUUUUACGACAAAACCCCACAAAAUGGUGCUAUAUAUUUUAAGCCAACUUGAUAUUCAAUAUUUUCUCGUUUUAGCUGCAACCACCAGCUGCAAAACCAACCAUUCCUUUAGCACCAUCAUAGACAACCUCGUACGUCUUUUGCUGAUGGUUUCCGAAAAUCCCAAUUUUACUAUCAUCCUUAUUUGCUGCAAAUGCCAGGCAGACCAUCUUGAGACCGUUCACCAGGUACAGGAUCCCCGAUGCAUUAAUAUCCACUUCAACCCCACCUUUGAAGGACACACUGACCUUAGGAAAUGAAACUGUUGUAUAAUUACUAAAAUCAUAGCAUGUGUCAAGCAGUUCAUCCCCGUUUGUCUUGGGAUAAUUCGACAUUUUUUCGUCGAAUGCUUCCUUGAGUGCCUUGUAUGCUGUAGGAGGCAGCCUAGUGAUGACCGUACCGGAGUCGAUGAUGGCUCCGCUCUUAGUAAAAAUUGAUGGAUCUAUUGGUAGCUGGGAACCUCCAACACUUAUUCCAACGAUGUCAAUGCCAUAAAAACUUGAGAAAGCUGGGGAUAUUGGAGUGAAUCCCGCAGUCUGAGAGACUUUUCCACCAAAGUUUAGGUAGCCGGUUGAGCUAGGUGAUGAAGGUAAACAAUAAGAGAAUUGCUUUUGGUAUUUCUCGGCAGUUUGUGAUGGUAAGGAUACCGAAGAGGAGCUUAGUCCU